GCGCGCACGCGCUCUCACGCUGAAGCAAGAAGGCCCGGCACCCUUUCCCAUUCAGCAUCGGCGAUUGGCCCCGCCCUUUAAUAGGCCCCGCCCCUCUGUCUGGGCGCUCCUUUCCGCUGGGACCUUGGGGCACUCCACUGGUCCCCUCAGGCCCCAGAUCGGGUAAAUUAGGAGGAGAACAGAUGGCGACGCAGACGGUGUGUUUGAAGGCGCCCCGGGAGGACUUCUUGGAAGAGGAGGCAAUGGAAGCCUCUGCAGUACCAUGUGUGGCAGGGGAAGCACGUGAAACCUACUUGAGACACUCCCAGUGUAGAUUAUGUGUGACCCUCUGGAACCCAGUGUCAACUACAGUGUGACAGUCAUGGUGAUACCACUGAUGAUCCUGGGAGUGUGUCCUUGGCUCUGUGCUUGACAUUCAAGACACCAGCUCCUGAAGAGGGAGCCCCCAGCCCCUCCAGCCCCUCCACCCUCAGCCGCAGUGACUGAGCACAUUAGCCCGUCCAGGAGCACGCGGCAUGGGAGUGGGGGGAGGCCAGGCUGCGGCUAUUGUUCUGAGGGUGCCAAGCCCCCACCCUCCCCUUCUUUCCCAACACCCACCAGGCUGGCAAAGCCCGUAGCACCAGUAGACAAAGGCUCUGCAACCCCCACCCGGCCAACCCCUCCCCCUGCGGCCAUCUAUCCAGUUUGCAGUCCCCCUGCUCCCGACCCGCACCGCCCAAAUUGAAUCCCAUCCCGGCGGGAAGGCGAAGCGCGGACACCUCUGGCGCAGCUGGACAGGGAGCUGCAUCCCGGGCCCCGCCCUGCUGCAGCAGCCUAAUGGGCGGCUUUACGCUGAGGGCCGGGACAAGGUCUGGGGGUUCGGGGGUCUACCUCUUGG